GUCUUCUUGAUUUUAAGAUAUUCAGUUUGCUUACAAAGAACAUAAAUAUAAUGAAAUAAAUACCAAAUAAAAUAUAAAGAAUACUUUAAAAUACAUUUUGUAUUAACAUAGCAAACAUUAUGUUUUGCUUUCUAUAAUGAAACAAUGGAAAGCUAAAUAUAUAUAAAUCCCACGUAAGUUUUGUCAAUACCAAUAGAUUAUCUUACCAAUAGAUAAUCAUAAAAAGGACAAUUCCUCAGGAGUGAAUGAAACUGUACACACACACACACACACACACACACACACACCUCUAGAUGCAACAGACAGAAUUGUGUAUUUCUUGCCUGCUUUGUAUUUUUCUUUUCUUUUUAUAUUUAUUUUUUCUUGUAAACGAAUGUACCCUGGAUUGGGAGAGAACAGGUUGUUUCUGGAUUUCUGUGGAAUUUAUAUAAAGACUUUGGAUGAAUGUGAAUAUGAAGGUGUGAUUGUUCACAUUCACAUUCAAAUUCAUAAAUAAUUAUGAUGGAAAAGAGAACGUUUUGAUGACUGACCUUUUUAAUUCGAUUGGGUGUUGUUGUUGUUUUUUUUGUUUUUUUUUUGUCUUAUCAAUCUGAAAUAUUCAGAGGACUCGAACAGAAUUGUAAAUAUACCUCAUUUAUGUUCAAUCAUAAAUCUUAUUUGUAUCUCAAAAGGUCGUAAAAAUUAAAAGUUUGCUUGUAUUCCAAUUUUCGAAUUUUAGAUGCAGUUUAAUUUUAGAUGUCCGUGUUUUUUAAACUCUAGACCUGCAGCAGAAUUUCUGCUCAUUCGCAUGAUCAAGAUCUCAGAAUUAAUUGAAACAAAUUUGAAUAUUAACGACUUUACAUUUUAAUCUGCAGAAUUAGCGAACCUCAAAAAUGAUUUAUUUUGUUUAUUUCCUCAUGAAACGACGAGCACGUGGAACAUUCGAUUAUUAACAAUAAUCCUUCAGAAUUAAUCAUUUAAAGGAGAAUUAAAACAUUUCUAAACAUAUUUGGAUUUUUUUAAAUUAAAAAUGUCUAAAUAAUGAAUAUAAUCAUAAUAAUAUUUUAAUAUUUAUUUAUGUGCAGCUUCUACGUUUUUUCUCAUUAUUGAAAUGUUGUACAGUCUAUUAAUCUAACAGACAAUGCUGAGCGCGAUUAUUUUAACUGAUAAAUAAAUAUAUUAUAUGUAGACGUGUGUUUAAACACACAAGGCUGAGACGAGCGCUAAUGUUUGUUAAUUACACCCGGUGCAGAAUGACGUCAUCACGCACUUUCUCUCUCUAAAAUGAUCUUAUUCUGCGCAUUAACUGUGAUCUUUUGAUCCAUUGAGGCCUUCAGCACUUCUGCAUGCCGCAAUAUGAUCAUAUGAUAUGAGAUCAGAUAAAAAUGUGAGAUCAGUGUCAGUAAAAGCUUUUAAUAUCUGUCGUCACUGUUCAUGAAUUUCUAAAAUAAACUAACAAAUGAUUCUGAAUUCAAAAUAUCAGUUCAAAGAACGUCGGUAUUUAGCCUUCUUUUUGUUUUAUUAUAGUUUGUCUUUUUAUAAUGAAUUAAUCGUUUCUACACAUGUAUUAUAAUGUAGGCUUAUAAUAUUGCAAUGUGAGCUAGCAUCAAGUUGAAUGUAAUAAAUUAAAAUAAUGUAAUAUACAAAUGUAGCAUCGUGUAGCCUAUAUUUAAAAAGUAAAAGAUUCAUCAGUUUAAGUCAACCUUAUAAAAGCAAAUGCACUGCUUUGACGGUGUAUAUAUUCUGCAUGCGAUUUUAUUUUCUAUACUUUAUCUUUAGUAAUGUAAUUUUAGCUCAGUUCUUAUUCAGGGUUGCAGGGUUGUGUUGCUUUCCUCUUAAAUGGUAAAAAUAAAUCUAAAAUUGCAGGCGAAUUUGCACAUUUAAAAUCAAAAAUAAAUUCUAAAGAAAAAAGAUUGCAAUCAAAUAUUUAAUGUUUAAGGAAACUCUUUUAAAAACACAAAUCUCCCCGAGCAUCCAAAGCACUUUUUAUGUUAUUUUUAAUGUUUAUUAUUUUUAUGUGAAUUGAUCAUUUAUACAGCCGAAUAAUGCAUAAGCUGUUGCAUAACAGCUAAUGUUCUGUCAUUUUGUCCGUGGUACGGAUGAUCACACUCUCUCCUCGUUCGCGUUUGUGGCGCGCGCGCACCGGUUUGAAUGCGCCGCGCGCAGCAUGAAUCACACCGACACCGACCAACCGGAGCUCGCGCUCGCGCUGUUGGGUUACUCAACAUGGCGAGCAUGCAUCUGCUCCAGACAUGUGUGUCCUCUGUUAAACACGUGAAGCAUGCGUGGCUCCGUCUGUCAUCUCCACAUGCAAUUAUGACUGAAUCCUGCAGCAGUCAGCGCAUAUAUCAGAUGUCAAGAGAAUGCACUAAUAUAACGUAUUUUCUUGUCAUGAAGUGAUUUGAGAGUUAGCAAAGAGAACAUUUUAGCAAGUGCCAUGAUGCAUCAAGCCAUUACAUUAUAAAAAAUUAGCGAGAUGCAUUAAUAAAACGCGCAGUUUUUCCUGACAACACACACGAUCUGGUGCAAUGGUUCUUUUCUCUGGGAAUGGAUGCUCGCUUUGUCUCUCUCUCUCUCUCUCUCUCUCUCUCGGCCCCUCCCCUCAUGUUCUCUAUCUCAUUCUCUCGCGCUCAGUCCAUCAUUCUUUCGGCUCUCGGGUCUCGGUGCUUGUUUGCUGACGAACAGAAUCGCUAAAGGAUGUAAAUGAAUGAAAGGAAAGAGCUGAAACAAAAGCAAACGAGCCACAAUGGAGGAGCGUUUAGCUGUGCGUGUGAUGCUGCAGAGCCUCCUCUAACUUUCAUCCUUCACUUUCAUUUGGAGCUGAAGACAAGAGGACACGUUUCAGCUCGUGUCGAAAGCGUCUUGUGGAUGUUGAGCUCUGCUUCAGUCCACACAGGUAAAGCAUCUUCAGUUCAAUCCACUGCCACUGAAUCUGUUUCACAAACUCAAGGCACACUGACAUUGACGGCUACUGUAAAUAUUCUACAAGAAUCAUAUAUUGUAAUAUUUGUUUCAUAAAGACAAUUUUAUGGUGCAAUUUGCCUAAUUUGAUUUAGUUUGAUUCACAUAUCUAAAACAGAAUUAGGUUGUUAAUGCAUUGUGUGUGUGUGUGUGUGUGUGUGUGUGUGUGUGUGUGUGUGUGUGUGUGUGUGUGUGUGUGUGUGUGUGUGUGUGUGUGUUUGGUUUGGUUUUCAUCUCUCUGGAUCUACAGUCAGUAGUUUGUGCUAUCAAUGAAUGCAUACUCCCAGAUGUAUGGUUUAUUUAAUCUCUGAGAUGAACAUAACUACCAAAACAUCAGAAUAAACUCAGAGUAAAGGUUACUUGCUUAAAAACCCUUUAGUAAAUCAUAUUUGUGACCCUGG